rnacentral:rRNA from 1 species
AGGGAUCAUUACCGAGUUUACAACUCCCAAACCCAAUGUGAACGUUACCAAACUGUUGCCUCGGCGGGAUCUCUGCCCCGGGUGCGUCGCAGCCCCGGACCAAGGCGCCCGCCGGAGGACCAACCAAAACUCUUUUUGUAUACCCCCUCGCGGGUUUUUUAUAAUCUGAGCCUUCUCGGCGCCUCUCGUAGGCGUUUCGAAAAUGAAUCAAAACUUUCAACAACGGAUCUCUUGGUUCUGGCAUCGAUGAAGAACGCAGCGAAAUGCGAUAAGUAAUGUGAAUUGCAGAAUUCAGUGAAUCAUCGAAUCUUUGAACGCACAUUGCGCCCGCCAGUAUUCUGGCGGGCAUGCCUGUCCGAGCGUCAUUUCAACCCUCGAACCCCUCCGGGGGGUCGGCGUUGGGGAUCGGCCCUCCCUUAGCGGGUGGCCGUCUCCGAAAUACAGUGGCGGUCUCGCCGCAGCCUCUCCUGCGCAGUAGUUUGCACACUCGCAUCGGGAGCGCGGCGCGUCCACAGCCGUUAAACACCCAACUUCUGAAAUGUUGACCUCGGAUCAGGUAGGAAUACCCGCUGAACUUAA